rnacentral:lncRNA from 1 species
CAUUUUAUUGGGCUUGGGAUACAAUCCGACCCAUGAGAAGGUGGAGGGAGACUCUUGAUCGGGUCUUCUCCCUCCCUGUUUCAAACCCAUCUUCCUCCUCCCGAAUCCACCAGAAAAAAAAAAACAGAGGGAAAAGGGGAUUAAAUCUUACCUAAAUUGAACCAAACUCCAUCUAUAAAAGAUCCCUUUCUCCUCAUCCUAGGGCAUCAACCGAGUGCCGUUCAAAAGAAAAAGGAAAGAAAAAAAAAGGGGAUCCGUGAGAUUGGGUUGUUCGCUGCCGAUCUCGCCGGAGGAACUCGCCGGAGUCAAGGUAAGCACCGUCUCCUCCUUCUCCUUUGUCUUUGGGCCACCGUCGCCUUGGAAUCCGGCCGGCAAGCCGUCGGACUGAUGGGAAAAGCCGAGCCUCUGUUCAGCCUUCUCGUCUUCCAUUCCAGCCGGCCGUCGCCGGGCGUGGCACCGUCAGCACCGCCACAGGCCGACGACCAGGGGGCGUCGCCGGCCGUGGGCCACCUGCUGCCGAACCCCCUUCUCCCCCUUCCGUCGGGAAGAAGGAAGAAGAGAGAAAGAGAGAGGGUCUUUCCACUCCCUUUCUCUUAUUAUAUUUUCCUCUUAUUAUAUUAUUUGUUGUUGGG